rnacentral:lncRNA from 1 species
CAUACUCUGUAGGCACUGGGGAGCUAUCAAUGGUUUUUAAGCAGGAGAACUCCUUUAUCAAAGACAAUUUUUAGCUCAUCUGGAAUCAGUGUGGAGGAUGGAAUUAGAGAAGACAGAGACUAGUAGCCCUCCGGAAGGAAGAUAACAGAGCUGGUGUUUGCUGCCUCAAACACCUGCAAUCACACUGUGUGGUCUUAAGGAAGAAAAACCCAGAGAAAGGAAAAGACCAAUGUAAUUAACACAUGGUCAAGAGCCAAGGUUCCUCUUCCCUGACAAGGGAGCAGCCUCCAGAAUGCCAGCAUACCAGGCCCGGUUGUAGGCACUGAACUUCAAUGCAGCCGAGGAGUGUGAAGGGCAGUGUUGAAGGAGCAUCAGCUCGGGGCAGGGAGCAGCUUCCAGCCCAGCAGUAAUGAUCUACUCAGAGUUGUCAGGGUGCACAGGGAAGUUUCCACUGGUGGUCUUCAUGGGGCUGCUGCUACUUGACCUGACCAAAGACAUGACGAAGAGAUAGCCAAGAGGAUCACAAAGACCUGGCUUUGUUGGGAAAACAUGGAACGUGUUAAAAACAUGGAGGAAAACAGUGGUGGUCCCCUGAGGAAUAACAACAAUGAGAGCAUUAUUCUGAUGUUCUUUAAGUAACAUGUAAAAUCCAAGGCUGCAAAGAAGCCUGAGAUAAUUCGGGAGCUGCAGCGUGAGAGUGGAACCUGGACAAGCCACACUUC